CAUCCUAGAUACAGGAGUGGCUGCUUGACUGUACCAAUAGCACGAAGAGACCACGCCUAAACAAGACACCAACGGGACAGGGCGAUAAAAAUGAAGAGGGACUGAGGGAGGGAGGGAGGGCGCUUCUCUAGGCAGUAGUGAGGUGAGUGAGAGAGACUGAGGAGGCAUGUGACCCUCUUCACUCGCUUCACCCUGUUCAUCACUCGCUUGUACAAGAAGUCACGCACCAAACGGGCAAGGGCAAACACCACCAAAGAAGGCGAGAACGCACUCCGUCCCUCUCCUCCAGGACCGCCCGCUCUUAUCCCGUUUCUCCCUUCUCUGGGCUCGGAGAAUCGGAGAUGGCGUCCAGCGCCUCUCGGUUCAUCAAGUGCGUCACGGUCGGCGACGGUGCCGUGGGCAAGACAUGUAUGCUCAUCUGCUACACCAGCAACAAGUUCCCCACUGAUUACAUACCCACGGUGUUCGACAAUUUCAGUGCAAAUGUCGUUGUGGAUGGCACCACGGUGAAUUUGGGCCUGUGGGAUACCGCAGGGCAGGAAGAUUACAACCGACUGAGGCCUCUAAGCUACCGUGGUGCAGAUGUUUUCGUGCUUGCAUUCUCACUUGUGAGUCGAGCUAGCUAUGAGAAUAUCAUGAAGAAGUGGAUACCGGAGCUUCAGCAUUAUGCACGUGGGGUGCCUGUUGUGUUGGUAGGCACAAAAUUUGAUCUUCGUGAAGACAAGCACUACUUGAUGGACCAUCCUGGGUUGGUGCCUGUUACCACAGCACAAGGGGAGGAACUUCGUAGACAAAUUGGUGCUAUGUAUUACAUCGAAUGCAGUUCGAAGACACAGCAGUUGGCUUACUUUGUCGGUAACAUGUAGAAUGUCAAAGCUGUGUUCGAUGCUGCCAUCAAGGUUGUAAUCCAGCCUCCAACUAAACUAAGAGAAAAGAAGAAAAAGAAAUCACGCAAGGGAUGUUCGAUGGUGAACAUCUUAUCUGGAAGAAAAAUGCUAUGCUUCAAGUCCUGAAUGAUCGAAGGGGGUCUUACCUGAACUAAUACCAUGAGUGUGACCCCAAGUUCGCGAAGCUUGAAAUCUUGAUGCGCUCGUUGCGCAUGUAUAUUUGCACCUUUGGUUAUUAAUCACUAGAGGUAGAUGAUUGAAACUAAUCUGCUUAACCAAUGUGCACUGCUGGGCGCUGGCGUGGUUAGCUAUAUCAGUUAGGCAGUUCGACAGAGGUCAAAGAGAUUGAGAUUUUGUUCUUUCUUGGCAAUGUCACAGCUUUUGUGAAUCUGGUCUCAUCAUACUGUCCGCUAGUUUAUCCAAUGAUUCCAUGGUGGAAUCAAUCCAUAGCAACAUUGUGUUGAAUGAUCCUUUGCUUUUGCGCUAAGCAUAUAACAUUCCAGUUUUGGUGAAAGCUGGAAGUGAAA